UGUGCAUGCUGCUGAGAACGUCCCCAUGCAGAGACACAGCUGCUCACGUAGGAGAGAAGAAUAAUGCAAGAAAAAUAUGACAAACGUCUCCCAGCUUGAAGAGGCACGGGGUUGACAUCAACAUUAACACUGCAGAUAAAGAUCCAGGUUUCCAGCUAA